GUCGGUGUCAGUUUUCUGAAGAACCUGGGGGUAAGACGAACCGCUCAAUGUAGAUGCAGCUUUAACAUCUGGCGGAAGAGAGUGGUUUGAAAUGUAUCACUGGUAUUCAGUUUGAUGCAAAUGCAGCACUCUGGGCUGAAUGUAUUUGCCAUAAAUUAGAUCUGCACAGCCAGCAACUUACAGAGCACAGCAGAGGAACUGAGCUCCACGGUGAAGAAAAAAACACGUGUCGCAGGACGAUUGAUGGUUAGCCUCUAGACCCCUCAGACAUCGUGAGCAGAUUCCUAACAGUCUCAAAACAACUGCCGGCAGCAUUGAGCCAUGAGCCCUGUGUGGUUUGAAUAUGAUUCAAGCUUGUACAAAAACUGCAGGUGAUAUUUUGCCUGUAGCGUGUCAUUGCGCUGGCUGAUUUGGACAGAUGUGGUUGCGGCAGGUUUGAUUAGUGUAAUUAUUUUUAUAGAGAGGGAACUUUAAACAAAUGCAUGCUGAAGAAUGCUGAUAUUGGAAUAUUUGGAUAAUGUAUUGUGAAACUGAUAUCUGUCCUGUUUAAUUGGGCAAACUUGUUUCAAGAUUGAUACCAAAAUCCAAUGUAAGCUACUGUAUGGAAGUCACUAUUAAGGGUUAAACAACACACUGUUUCUUUUGCCUGCCUGCUGUUAAAAUACAUAAAAAAAAUUUGAAGCAUGUAUAUUCUUGUAGUUUUGGAUUUUGGGCUCUAUGGAAUGUAAGGAAACAGAAUUUAACUUUAAAUGAAAUUCAGAUAAAGAUAAUUAAUGAAAUGUAAAGACAUAAUUAAUGAAAUGUAUAGCAUUUUACCUAGAAAUGCAAGGUUUGGCACGAGAAAUGUGGCCUAAACAAUUGUUAUUUGUCAAAGCCUUACCAGAAAGUCUUGGAUAGAUGAAUAAAUGGAUGAACAUGUGUUGAA